rnacentral:rRNA from 1 species
UACGUAGGGUGCAAGCGUUAAUCGGAAUUACUGGGCGUAAAGCGCACGUAGGCGGAUAUUUAAGUUAGGGGUGAAAUCCCAGGGCUCAACCCUGGAACUGCCUUUAAUACUGGGUAUCUCGAGUCCGAGAGAGGUGAGUGGAAUUCCGAGUGUAGAGGUGAAAUUCGUAGAUAUUCGGAGGAACACCAGUGGCGAAGGCGGCUCACUGGCUCGGUACUGACGCUGAGGUGCGAAAGCGUGGGGAGCAAACAGG